UACGUAGGUGGCAAGCGUUUGUCCGGAUUUACUGGGCGUAAAGAGCGCGCAGGCGGUCGAGUAAGUCGAAUGUGAAAGCCCCCGGCUUAACUGGGGAGGGUCAUUCGAUACUGUUCGACUUGAAGGCAGGAGAGGGCAGCAGAAUUCCCGGUGUAGUGGUGAAAUGCGUAGAUAUCGGGAGGAAUACCAGUGGCGAAGGCGGCUGCCUGGCCUGUUCUUGACGCUGAGGCGCGAAAGCUGGGGGGAGCAAACGGG
rnacentral:rRNA from 1 species